UACGGAGGGUGCGAGCGUUGUUCGGAAUCACCGGGCGUAAAGCGCGUGUAGGCGGUCUACUAAGCCUGAUGUGAAAGCCCGGGGCUCACCCUCGGAAGUGCAUUGGAAACUGGCAGACUGGAGUCCCGGAGAGGAGGGUGGAAUUCCUGGUGUAGCGGUGAAAUGCGUAGAUAUCAGGAGGAACACCGGUGGCGAAGGCGGCCCUCUGGACGGUGACUGACGCUGAGACGCGAAAGCGUGGGGAGCAAACAGG
rnacentral:rRNA from 1 species